rnacentral:rRNA from 1 species
UACGAAGGGGGCUAGCGUUGUUCGGAAUUACUGGGCGUAAAGGGCGCGUAGGCGGUGUGUCAAGUCAGGCGUGAAAGCCCCGGGCUCAACCUGGGAACCGCGCUUGAGACUGGCACGCUCGAGUUCGGGAGAGGAGUGUGGAAUUCCUGGAUGUAGCGGUGAAAUGCGCAGAUAUCAGGAGGAACACCAAUGGCGAAGGCAGCACUCUGGGACGGUACUGGACGCUGAGACGCGAAAGCCGUGGGGAGCAAACAGG